rnacentral:rRNA from 1 species
CCUACGGGUGGCUGCAGUGAGGAAUAUUGGUCAAUGGAGGAAACUCUGACCCAGCAACGCCGCGUGAAUGAUGAAGGUCUUCGGAUUGUAAAGUUCUUUUCUACGGGAAGAAGAAAGUGACGGUACCUUAGGAAUAAGGCUCGGCUAACUACGUGCCAGCAGCCCCGGUAAAACGUAGGAGGCAAGCGUUAUCCGGAAUGACUGGGCGGGAAGGGUGCGGAGGUGGUUUGACAAGUUGGUAGCGUAAUUCCGGGGCUACAACUCGGCACUACUACCAAAACUGUCGGACUUGAGUGCAGGAGGGGCAAAUGGAAUGCCUAGUGUAGCGGUGGAAUGCGUAGAUAUUAGGCGGAACACCAGUGGCGAAGGCGAUUUGCUGGA